rnacentral:rRNA from 1 species
AUUGAACGCUGGCGGCAGGCCUAACACAUGCAAGUCGAACGAGUGGCGGACGGGUGAGUAAUGUCUGGGAAACUGCCCGAUGGAGGGGGAUAACUACUGGAAACGGUAGCUAAUACCGCAUACCAUCGGAUGUGCCCAGAUGGGCUGAGCUUGUAGGUGAGGUAACGGCGCACCUAGGCGACGAUCCCUAGCUGGUCUGAGAGGAUGACCAGGCAAGAUGGAACUGAGACAGGGUCCAUACGCGUACGUGAGGCAGCAGUGGGGAAUAUUGCACAAUGGGGGCAAGCCUGAUGCAGCCAUGCAGCGUGUAUGAAGAAGGCCUUCGGUUUGUAAAGUACUUUCAGCGGGGAGGCGUUACCCUCAGAAGAAGCACCGGCUAACUCCGUGCCAGCAGCCGCGGUAAUUC